CCCCCCCCCCCCCCCCCCCCACCCCUCCCCUUCUCUGUCUCGUCCUUUCUCACCUUCCCUUCGCUUCUCUCACCUCCUCUCUCCUUCCCUUUUCCCCCACCCCUCCCCUUCUCUGUCUCGUCCUUUCUCACCUUCCCUUCGCUUCUCUCACCUCCUCUCUCCUUCCCUUUUCAAUUCCCUCUCUCUCGUCCUACUUAUCUUUUCUCUACCAACACAACAAUCAUUCUUACCCCCGCCUCUUUUCCUUCUUCUCGUAUCUUUGCUCUUCCCUUUCCCUAUCUCUCCUCCUUUUUCCCUCUACCUCUCCCUCCUUCCUCCUUUUGUUAAAAUGUAUUUUACGUAUUAUAUGUAAAUUUGACAGAGCUGUCAAGUACUUAAUAGUCUAAGACUAAUUAAUUAGUUUUUAAAACUAGAAGGAUUAUUUGAUUCGUUUUGAAAACUACAGCGACUAAUUUAUAAUUCACUCGCUUAAAGCCUAUGCACAUACACAGAAAAGGCCUAUCUGCCUCUUAAACCUCCAUUCUAAAACCCUUUUCACCCUGCUGUCUCUCUGCAAUCUAAUAGAUUAAACAAACGAUACUAUACCUACUGUUUCAGACACCCUGAAGCUGCUUGUGUUCCUCAGUAAAGCCUGUUUGGUGUCUCUGUACUGCGGAUUCCUCUUCGCAAACUUGUCCGGUCAGUCACUGCUCAUUUCCACACACAUAUAUGUUAAGUUUUCUUGUUUAAGGAAUCAAAAUGGAGCAGUUUUUUGUUGAUUUCACAUAUUUGGGUCUGGUUGCAAGUAGGUGAUUUAAUUGUGUGAUUGACAUAUUUGGUGGGCGAGUUGUGGCUUUUAACUGCUAUUGUGUCAGUUUAUUUUCUAUUACUUUGUGAUUAUACAAGAAAGGAGUCUAAAGUUGCCAAAUUGCAUAACUGUGUUUCAGUAUAAUUUGAAAAUAGACAUAAAUUUGUAAACAUGGAAGGGAAACAAGCAGUAUUGGGUUGCUUUACCGUUACCUUGGUUCAUAUAUUUUACAGACAAAUAUCAAAUUAGUUGACUUUUCCUAGGAUGGUUGUAAUGCCUUUAUAUCUUAGAGGAAAUCUUGCACCUAUGUUAUGUAUGUGGAACUAGUUUCUGAUAAUUCGGACAGGGUCUGAUACCAAAGCUUGAUAAUUGCAUCAUAUUUUGUAGAGUUAACAUAAUUUGCUACAUAAAAUGGUCUGAUUAAUUUCUUAUGUUUACAUAGAGAUUUAAUUAGAUGAUAUGAUGUAUCUUGUAAUUUUGAUUAUCUGCCUAAUAUUUUUGUUCAUUUCUUCGGUCUUACUUUUUGUUCGAAAGUGAAGAACUUGUAUCGUGUUUCCAUGUCAUUUUUCAACUUUCAUAUCACAACAGCAAAUAUAAUUGUAGUAUAGUUCUUUUUAUGGUUGAUAUUAGCAACAGAAGAAACUACUCUAGCCAGGUUUUUUUGGAUCCAUCUGGUUAAGGGCACCCUGCCAAUACUCAAAUCUAUAAUCAUUCCCAUUCAAGAAAUUCAAGCAGCCCAUAUACAUCAAUUUUUCAAUCCAGUUGUCUUCAGCAUAGGUUAAAAAAAUGGUAAGAUCAAAGAAAGUUUCAGUGGGGCAAUUGGUUUUUGGCGUCACAGGAGAGUCCAGCUCUGGUUAGAGAAACUUGGUGCAAAAGAACCAUUUUAUGGUAACAUGGCUAUCUGUUGGACCAAUGCCAAAGAAGAGGAAGCACUUGAAAGAUAUAAGUUGAUUACAGGAAAUAUAGUUUCGUUUCCCAAGUUUCAGGUCCACGGUAAAAACAGCUUAGAAGAUGAUUGGCUUGCAGCUUUCAUCUGAUGGGCUAGUUGACAAGUGUUCUGGGUUGAAUUCCAGAGGAGUGUUGGAAAUAAAGUGUCCAUUUUUUAAAGGAGAAAUGUGCAGGGCUUCACCUUGGAAGCAGAUCCCUCUUUAUUGUGUUCCACAAGCUCAAGGUUUAAUCGAAAUACUAGACAAGGAUUGGAUGGAUUUCUAUGUUUGGACUCCUAAUGGAAGCGGUCUGUUUGCAUUAUAUCGAGACGAGGCAUACUGGAUGCUCUGAAAAUAGCACUUUCUGAUUUCUGGAUUAAUCAUGUACUGCCAGCAAAGGAGUUGUGAAGUAAAAGAGAUAACAGAUCCCCUGAAAGAAUUAGGAUCAUUGAAGCCUGAAGUCUGCAGCUAGGCAUGAAUUGUAUAGCUAUAUAGUUUAUGAAAGUUAACAAAUUGUUGAAAGCUCCCACUUAAAGAUGCGCGAAAUUAGUGGGCAACUUCAAAACUGAUGCAAUUAGGACUUGAUGAGCUGGGGCAUUUCGCUACAGUUUGAAUAGAUGAACUUGUGUAAGUGUCUUUUUUCGUUAUUUUUUACUUGCAGUUAUGAGAAAAGUCAAAUGUAUCUGAUAUUAAACAAACGAUGACCCCUUCUUGUUGGUGCAGGUUGCAUUGCAUCUUCUCUACUCUGACUUCUUCUUCUUUAUGUUUUUUAAUUAGUAUUGUUAUUAAGUAGACGAAUUAUGACAUUUGAUCAGAAAGUUAGGAAUAAGGUUAGGCAGUUUGAGUGGAACCAGAUUAGAGCAACUUGGGUUGUAGCAGCAUGGAGAUAACUCAGGCCGAUCACUAUCCUUCCUCCCAUGCUGAUUAGUGCAGUGUUUUGAUUAUUUUCGGUACAAACAUAAGCAUUUUGUUGUGAUAAUAUAUUAUACGCACAACUUACUUGAUGAUUUUACAUGUUUAAACCACGUGAUUAUGCCAUUUUUAAAUAGUGCGUUUCCCCCCCUUAACAACAGCUUAUCAACUUUGAGUUAUGAAGAUUUGUUGGCUUGUCUACUUUGGACCGACACACGUGCAGAGGCACACAUUGAGAGAUGGCAGGUCAGUUGUGCACGAUUAAUCAUCAAGUUUUGCGACAUCACUAUCCAAAAGACUGCAAUUUGAGGCGGAGAGUCUCAAUUUUUUGUGUCAUAAAUUGCUGCAUCUAGUAUGACAUGGGGUAACCAUUUGAUUGGAAAUUUGAUACAUGGCAGUAACAGGAUAAAUUGGGAGCAUGAUUUUUGGUGUUAGAGCUUCGAUGCUGUUACAUAUUCUCCAUAAACUGCAUACAAGGGAGGUGUGAGCACUUUGUAGUGAUAGCAAGGUAACCAUUAAAACUUUUUAGGCGGGAACUAGUACUUCAAUUUUAUCUUUCCUGACUAAUAGAUGAGGUUUAAAAAGGAUAUAGCAAAAUACUCAGUUGUAAAUUCAGCUUCCCAUCAGAUAAAGCCUUAGUAGGUUUUAAAUUUAUCGGACAAGCAAUAAAAAUAGGUAAAAUCUGACUACUUCCAGCCAGCUUAAUUAAAACAAUUGGGCACCAUGCAUUAUAUUACAUUAAACUCAAGACUAGUUCAUUAAUAUCAAAAAACCUUCAAAAUGCAAUAUACUAUGAUGUGCUUGCAAAUGUCAGAACAACGAAAUACAAGAUAUAAAUGAAGACGAACAUGCUGAGACAUACUGAAGACUGAGAUCAAGGAAAAAGGCAUUAUUUGCCUCGGAUUUACUGCAAGACUGGGCACAAAAGCAAGACCUGCAGACUAGCUUUGCUGGAGCAGCCUCUAUACAUGUUUAACAAAUUAUGGCUGAAGACAUGCAAGCCCUAUGUACUCAUCAAAUCAAUAGAGGGUUGAAAAACCCUGGAAUAUGAGACCAUAUCCUAGAGUAGGGAACGAAGGGGAGUCCUGGAAAUUCAAAAUGUGGUGUGGUAAUACUCGAGGGGUGGAGAGAACAUAAAACCAAGAAAAGAGGAAGAAGAAAAGGGUGGUGAUAGGUGCCAUAGUUUUGAGCUUACUGCACAGGGGAAGCUUUGUGAUGGAGCUAUCUGGGUUUUUGUGAUCUUAAUCUGUUGCUUUCUUUGCGGGUUUCGCCGAGGCAUGAAACAAGUGAUUGUGGCAAUUGAAUAUAACGAUCCACACACAUGCACACACGCAAAAGGCUGAGAAUGCAAUCCCAAGUGUGCAUCAAUUGCCUUACCUGAUGCUGUGAAAAAUUAUGAUC